AUGCACGCUGGCGGCGUGCCUCAUCCCUGCAAGUCGCGCGAACGGACGAGAAGCUUGCUUUUCUGAUGUUAGCGGCGGACGGGUGAGUAACACGUGGAUAACCUACCUAUAAGACUGGGAUAACUUCGGGAAACCGGAGCUAAUACCGGAUAAUAUUUUGAACCGCAUGGUUCAAAAGUGAAAGACGGUCUUGCUGUCACUUAUAGAUGGAUCCGCGCUGCAUUAGCUAGUUGGUAAGGUAACGGCUUACCAAGGCAACGAUGCAUAGCCGACCUGAGAGGGUGAUCGGCCACACUGGAACUGAGACACGGUCCAGACUCCUACGGGAGGCAGCAGUAGGGAAUCUUCCGCAAUGGGCGAAAGCCUGACGGAGCAACGCCGCGUGAGUGAUGAAGGUCUUCGGAUCGUAAAACUCUGUUAUUAGGGAAGAACAUAUGUGUAAGUAACUGUGCACAUCUUGACGGUACCUAAUCAGAAAGCCACGGCUAACUACGUG
rnacentral:rRNA from 1 species